GUAAGGAAUCUUCCACAAUGGACGAAAGUCUGAUGGAGCAACGCCGCGUGCAGGAUGACGGUCUUCGGAUUGUAAACUGCUUUUGUAUGGGAAGAUUAUGACGGUACCAUGCGAAUAAGGACCGGCUAACUACGUGCCAGCAGCCGCGGUAAUACGUAGGGUCCAAGCGUUAUCCGGAAUCACUGGGCGUAAAGCGUGCGUAGGCGGAUGUUUAAGUGUGAUGUUAAAUCGUGGGGCUCAACCCUGUCGUUGCAUCGCAUACUGGGCAUCUAGAGGACGGCAGAGGCAAGUGGAACUCGUAGUGUAGCAGUGAAAUGCGUAGAUAUUACGAAGAACACCAAUGGCGAAGGCAGCUUGCUGGGCCGACCCUGACGCUGAGGUACGAAAGCGUGGGGAGCGAACAGGAUUAGAUACCCUUGUAGUCC
rnacentral:rRNA from 1 species